rnacentral:tRNA from 1 species
AGCAUCGGCCGGGGAUCGAACCUGGGUCGCCCGCGUGGCAGGCGAGCAUUCUACCACUGAACCACCGAUGG